rnacentral:rRNA from 1 species
UACAGAGGGUGCGAGCGUUAAUCGGAAUUACUGGGCGUAAAGCGCGCGUAGGCGGCUUUUCAAGUCGAUUGUGAAAUCCCCGGGCUUAACCUGGGAACUGCAGUCGAGACUGUCUAGCUAGAGUAUGGGAGAGGGAAGUGGAAUUUCAGGUGUAGCGGUGAAAUGCGCAGAUAUCAGGAGGAACACCAAUUGCGAAGGCAGCUCGCUGGGACGUGACUGACGCUGAGACGCGAAAGCGUGGGGAGCAAACAGG